UUGUCCUGUCCCUUUCAAUAAGACUUUAUUCGUACCCGUCCAUGGGCCUGCAAUCCAACCAUUGAAGCCCAGUCUUAUUGGGCCUUCAGCCAUGUAGCCCAAAAAUAUGCUCGAAGAAACAGGAUAAGCUUAAGCCCCAAAGACGCCAUAUUUUCAUUUCCAAGUUUUUCCAAGAUGGCCGGAACCACCACCGCAUUAUUUGCGUCCCCGUUCUCCACUAUCACCACCACCACUGCCACCACGGAGGUCCUCCACUCCUCACGUUCACUCACGCCAAGUGCCAAGGCCUCAUUCCCUCUCCAUAAUCAGACGUUUUUCAGAACCCACAAUAUCAGCAUUCAUCGCCAUGGAAAGUUCAUUAAUUCGACCAGUGAAGAUAACCAGGAGAUAUUCGGCGAUGCUUUCUUUUUCGAAAGUGAUGAUCUAGCUGGGAACGACGACAGUGACGAAGAAGAUGAAACGGAGAGCAGUGUUGAUCUGUUGAUAAGGUUUCUUCGAAGUAUGGUCAAGAAAAUCUCGAAGCGUGCAAAGAAGGCCUCUCGCUCUGUUUUGCCUCCUGCCAUAUCGUUCCAAUUGGUGUCUUUUGCAGUUGAUGGGCUUCUGCUAUUGGCUUCACUUUCUAUUGCUAAAGCUCUUCUUGAGGUUGUCUGCACACUCGGUGGGACUGCCUUUGUGGCGAUCCUAUUCCUUCGAGUGAUCUGGGCUACUAUGUCCUACUUCCAAUCAAGUGGGAGUAAUUUUAAUCAAGCGGGAAGUUCGUACGGCACAGCACAACCAGUAUCAUAAUGUUAAAAGUGGCUAGAGAAGAAAUUUCUCCUGAAGAACCUACAUUCUGCCAACAGCAGGAGGAUGCAUCGUCUUUCAAUGCAUUUAUUACCAUUUGAAGAGGAUCUUCUUGACUAUGUAGUUCUUUCGAAACCGCCACCAACCUGCAUGUGUAACCAAUCCGGUGAUGAACCACGGCUGAACUCCCUUGUAGGUUGUGAGUUAAAUGCCAUACCAGCAGCCUCAAAUGCUUGUUGUCCAAACUGUGAUGCCAAAUUGAUCUAUUGCAACACACAUUAAGAUGAAACAGUUACUACAAUUGUAUUUGUGAGAGUAGACUGAACGGUUAAGCAGAGUAGAGUAUGAAACAGAAUUACGUUAGAGACAUGUGACUCUCUAUAACAGUAUUGUGGAGGGAGAAAGAAACGGGAUCCUUGACAUAUCUUAUUCAAUCAUAUAAUCCGAUUUUCUUACAUAUAAAUAAGCAAAAA